CCCUUAGAUGUUCUGGGCCGCACGCGUGCUACACUGAGUGGAUCAGCGGGUCAGGUUGCGCGAAAGUGUUUCCUAAUCUUUAAAUCCGCUCGUGAUGGGGAUUGACGGUUGCAAUUUUCCGUCAUGAACGAGGAAUACCUUGUAAGCGCGGGUCAUCAUCCCGCGCUGAAUACGUCCCUGCCCUUUGUACACACCGCCCGUCGCACCUACCGAUUGAGAGCAUAGGUGAAAACUCAGGAUCUUAUCUCUUGGACCUUCGGGUACCUUUAGAUUAGAGAAUUUGUUUAAACCUCCGUUCUUAGAGGAAGGUGAAGUCGUAACA
rnacentral:rRNA from 1 species